CACUCCCUAAAAUCUCUCCAACAAACAAAACAAUCUUUAUAAAAUUUGUUAUAUCUAUCCGCCAACCAUAUCUAUCAGUUUUGCCUACACAUAUCCCACGAAUUCACGAUUCUACCACAUCUAAAAAUCUGAGAGAGAAGCCACCAAUCUACUGCAGAUUUCUACCCUUCCACAAGUUGAGAAGAAAUAGAUGGAGUGAGGGAGAGCCGAGAGUUUCAUCAAGUUGUUUUCCUACAAAUUUUAAGUUCCCUCCUUGCAGCAAAGGGUGAAUUUUUGCAAGCUAUUUGAGAACGGAACAGAAAGACGAGUUGAGGAUUUAAGAGAACAAGGUUGAGCUCUGACGAGCGCGGUGGGUAUUGAGUAGAGCUGGUGAAGAUUUGUGUUUGCUUUUAAAUGUUCUGAAUAUAUUAUGUCUUCGUACAUAAUAUUAUUCUUCUCUCGAAUGCUUCCGCUGAAUGUUGUUUCUUUUAAGUUCGUGUAUUGUUAAGAUAGUUUCAUUUGGAGUUGUUGAUUGUUGAGAUAAUACUCUGAUUUUAUUCGAGCUAUUCCAUUUAUUUUGAGCUA